rnacentral:rRNA from 1 species
GACGAACGCUGGCGGCGUGCUUAACACAUGCAAGUCGAACGGUGAAGCGCCUUCCUUUUUGGUGGGUGUGGAUGAGUGGCGAACGGGUGAGUAACACGUGAGUAACCUGCCCCCUUCUUCUGGAUAACCGCAUGAAAGUGUGGCUAAUACGGGAUAUUCUGGGUCUGUCGCAUGAUGGGUCUGGGACAGAUAUUGUUUCGGUGGGGGAUGGGCUCGCGGCCUAUCAGCUUGUUGGUGGGGUGAUGGCCUACCAAGGCGGUGACGGGUAGCCGGCCUGAGAGGGUGGACGGUCACACUGGGACUGAGACACGGCCCAGACUCCUACGGGAGGCAGCAGUGGGGAAUAGUGCACAGUGGGCGAAAGCCUGAUGCAGCGACGCCGCGUGAGGGAUGGAGGCCUUCGGGUUGUGAACCUCUUUCGCCAGUGAAGCAGGCCUGCCUCGUUUGUGGGUGGGUUGACGGUAGCUGGAUAAGAAGCGCCGGCUAACUACGUG